CGAGAGACACACAAGCGUAUCCUCCGUCCGACAGAAAGCCCACUUUGCAGAACGUGGUCGCUACCGCAACCCUUGGGGCGAAGCUAGACCUGAAGCUCCUCUCUAGAUCCGCGCGAAACACCGAGUAUCGACCAAGACGCUUCGCGGCGGUGGUUUCGCGCUUUGAAAAGCCCAAAGCGACGGUGCUCAUUUUUGAAACCGGCAAGAUUGUCUGCACGGGCGCCAAGACGGAAGACGAUGCCAUCGCGGCCGCCAAAAGAUGUUCGAAAAUGGUCAGAGACAACUUGAAAAUUAACUGCAAAGCAAAAGAGUUUAGGAUACAGAACAUGGUCGCGAACUGUUCGAUAGGAUUUUUGAUUCGCUUGGACGCGCUGGCGCUAGAGCACUCAUCUUUUGCUCAGUACGAGCCGGACAUGUUUCCGGGACUCAUUUACCGGAUGCAGAAGCCUAAGCUGGUGCUGCUGAUCUUCGUGUCUGGGAAGAUCAUCUUUACCGGUGCCAAGUCGGAAGAGGACAUUUUGACCGCGUGGAGCCUGAUAUAUAGCGUCUUAGUACAGUUUCGAAAGGUGUCAUAAAAAAACAAAAAGAGGUGUAAAUAAACUUGUUCAUAGCACAUUUGAAAG